rnacentral:lncRNA from 1 species
AUGACUGUUGUAAUCUUGAUUAGCAUCAAAUGGCCUUGCAGCUUCAAAGCCUGGUUGUUUCCUCCUUGGGGACUCCUUUGUUGGGAGGUGUUAGCUGGCCCUGAUUGUUUCCUGUCUGGAAUUCCCCUGUUUAAUUACUGGGAUAGAAUAAUGCAGAACAAUAUAAUCUCUAAAACCAGGACAGUAAAUAAACAGGGGAAUUCCACACAGGAAACAAUCGGGGCCAGCUAACACCUCCCAACAAAGGAUUCCCAUCAUCAAAGUCUGGCAAAUCCUGUUUUCUCAGGGCCACAGACAGUAGAAGCACAUAAAAUAUCGCAAACAACACCACUCUGAAAACAAGGAAAUUCCAGACAGGAAACAAUCAGGGCCAGCUAACACCUCCCAACAAAAAAUUCACUCAGGGAGGAACCAGCCAGGCUUUAAAGCUGCAAGGCCAUUACAUCCUAAUCAUUUUUCCUAAUUGCAGCAUUCAUACUUGCCUCCAACAAAAAAAAAAAAAAACAAUCAGAAAUAUUGUAUAUUCACAACCUUUAGGAAAUAAUAUCCCCUGAUGGCGCAGCGUGUUAAAGCGCUGAGCUGCUGAACUUCUGGACCGAAAGGCCACAGGUUUGAAUUGGGGGAGCAGAGAGAGCCCCCACUGUUAGCCCCAGCUUCUGCCAACCCAGAAGUUCAAAAACAUGCAAAUGUGAGUGCAUCAAUAGGUACUGCUCCGGCGGAAAGGUAACGCCGCUCCAUGCAGUCAUCCCACAUGACCUUGGAGGAGUCUACGGACAACGCCGGCUCUUCGGCUUAGAAAUGGAGAUGAGCACCAACCCCCAGAAUUAGACAUGACUGGACUUAACGUCAGGGGAAAACCUUUACCCUUUACCUUAACUACCACCAAUUCCUCAAUACUUUAUUUCCCAUACCACCAUUCUUCGCCACAGCAACGCGUGGCCGGGCACAGCUAGUCUAUAUAUAUAAAAGGGUAAUGAAAUUUCGGCCUAGGACAAAACAACAAAACUACACAUCCCAGAAACAGCUAGUUAUUAUUAUAAUUAUAAUUAAUUUAUAAUUAUUUAUUUAAUUAAUUAUUUAAAUUAUUUAUCUAAUUAUAUAAUUAAUUAUUUUAUUUAUUUGUUUGUUUGUUUGUUUUUAUUUAUUUACAUCACUUUUACCCCGCCUUUCUCUCUGAGGAGACUCAAAGCGGCUUACAGCAAACAGGCAAAAAUUCAAUGCCUAAAAACAAUGUAAAAACAACAAUUCAUAUAAAAACAAUCUACAAAACAACAGUUCAUAUAAAACAGAUACCAUUACAAAAUAAAAUCACAAGAAUGUCCAAGAUUAAAAUCCAUUCAUCCAGAAUCCUCAAGUCUUCGUACAGGUCAUGGAAAGUCCAUGUUCUCAAUUUUAUCAAUCAAUUUCAUUUAUUUAUUUAUUUAUAAAAUUAAUUAUUUAAUUUAUAAUUAUUAUAAUUCUAAUUAUUAUAAUUAAUAAUAUUAUUAAAUAUUAAUAAUAAUAAUGUUCGACUUGUGAUAAUAAUAGUGUUCGACUUGUGAU